rnacentral:rRNA from 1 species
CGAACGCUGGCGGCGUGCUUAACACAUGCAAGUCGUACGGUAAGGCCCUUUCGGGGGUACCCGAGUGGCGAACGGGUGAGUAACACGUGAGUAACCUGCCCACAACUUUGGGAUAACGCUAGGAAACUGGUGCUAAUACUGGAUAUGUGCUCCUGCUGCAUGGUGGGGGUUGGAAAGCUCCGGCGGUUGUGGAUGGACUCGCGGCCUAUCAGCUUGUUGGUGGGGUAGUGGCCUACCAAGGCGGCGACGGGUAGCCGGCCUGAGAGGGUGACCGGCCACAUUGGGACUGAGAUACGGCCCAGACUCCUACGGGAGGCAGCAGUGGGGAAUAUUGCACAAUGGGCGCAAGCCUGAUGCAGCAACGCCGCGUGCGGGAUGACGGCCUUCGGGUUGUAAACCGCUUUCAGCAGGGACGAAGCUUUUUGUGACGGUACCUGCAGAAGAAGCACCGGCUAACUACGUG